rnacentral:rRNA from 1 species
AUGUUACUAUUGGCAGUGCUAAGGUCUUCCGGUUUGCUUUGGCGUCGGUUUUCACCUUGCUCUCGGGGGAGCAUCUUCUUCUCUCGAUGGAUUGGUGCACUCCAUGGUAGGGAAAGGGGUUUGGAGUCCCCUUCAGAGUUAAAAUGGGUUGUUACCGAGGUAUCACGAGCUCAUGCAGUCGACAUGGGUGUUCUUCAUAAAAUUAUACGCCUCAAGAUUGGGGCAUUUUCCUCUGCACGGAGCAUUGGAGUAAGGUUUCUUCGGCAUCAAGCUAGUCUUGAGUCUUCGCUUUUUCUUAUCCUUGCUUGUUUUCUAGAUAUUGUAUGUUAG